CCUACGGGAGGCUGCAGUGGGGAAUAUUGGACAAUGGGCGAAAGCCUGAUCCAGCCAUGCCGCGUGUGUGAAGAAGGCCUUCGGGUUGUAAAGCACUUUCAGUGGGGAAGAAAGCCUUGGGGCUAAUACCCUCGAGGAAGGACAUCACCCACAGAAGAAGCACCGGCUAACUCCGUGCCAGCAGCCGCGGUAAUACGGAGGGUGCGAGCGUUGAUCGGAAUUACUGGGCGUAAAGCGCGCGUAGGCGGUCUGAUAAGCCGGUUGUGAAAGCCCCGGGCUCAACCUGGGAACGGCAUCCGGAACUGUCAGGCUAGAGUGCAGGAGAGGAAGGUAGAAUUCCCGGUGUAGCGGUGAAAUGCGUAGAGAUCGGGAGGAAUACCAGUGGCGAAGGCGGCCUUCUGGACUGACACUGACGCUGAGGUGCGAAAGCGUGGGUAGCAAACAGGAUUAGAUACCCCGGUAGUC
rnacentral:rRNA from 1 species